AGUGAACGCUGGCGGUAGGCCUAACACAUGCCAGUCGAACGGCAGCACAGUAAGAGCUUGCUCUUACGGGUGGCGGGUGGCGGACGGGUGAGGAAUACAUCGGAAUCUACUUUUUCGUGGGGGAUAACGUAGGGAAACUUACGCUAAUACCGCAUACGACCUACGGGUGAAAGCAGGGGAUCUUCGGACCUUUCGCGGUUGAAUGAGCCGAUGUCGGAUUAGCUAGUUGGCGGGGUAAAGGCCCACCAAGGCGACGAUCCGUAGCUGGUCUGAGAGGCUGAUCAGCCACACUGGAACUGAGACACGGUCCAGACUCCUACGGGAGGCCGCAGUGGGGAAUAGUGGACAAUGGGCGCAAGCCUGAUCCAGCCAUACCGCGUGGGUGAAGAAGGCCCUCGGGUUGUAAAGCCCUUUUGUUGGGAAAGAAAAGCAGCAGGUUAAUACCCCGCUGUUCUGACGGUACCCAAAGAAUAAGCACCGGCUAACUUCGUG
rnacentral:rRNA from 1 species